CUGACCCUGUUUCCUCUGCCAGCAAGAUAAGAGCACAUGAGGAGUGAAGCAAUGAGGUGCCUCUCUUAGUAGAUGAAGGACCUGGGGGUCGGGACAGCCCUGAACACCCUGCUCCCUACUACUGCGGGAGACCUUGCAGAAGAGACCUAUGGGACUCCGACCGCGACUGACUCAGGGCUGGUGCAUGCCUCUCUGGUUGGGGUGAGCCUGGCCUGGCAGGAGACACAGGAUCACCCUGGGUACCUCCUCCACUCUCCACCUUGGGACCUUCUCCAGAUGCCGUUUAGCUACACACCCAACCCAUGGCACAGACUUCUGCAGUCAUCAGAGUGGAGGAUGGAGAUUUGAGGGGAAACUGAAGACAGAGCCUCAUGGCCCCUAACUGCAGCACGGCUUUCUUCAUUCUUCGUACUCUACUGCUUGGGCCCUGUCUCCCUGGCUAAACUGGGAUCUCCCUGAGAGCAGGGCUGUGUUUUUCACCAGUGCAGCACCGGUAUACUAGGUGCCCAGUAAAUCCGUGACAUUUUGAACGCAUGACCGACGCCUCCAUGUACAGUUCCUGGAGGCUUUCAAGCCAUCAAGCCCUCCAGGUGACCUCUUCAUCCUCCAGCCUCCACUCCCGCUUAGGUUUUCCAACCAGAUUCCUGAUUCCCUCUGCCUCCUUCCUCUUACCUGGACUCCUCAGAUGUCACCAAGUCCUUGUAUUUCUUUUCUUUUCUUUUUUAAAUUGAAGUAUAGUUGAUUUACAAUGUUGUGUUAA